rnacentral:lncRNA from 1 species
AUCCAUCUGACAUGUCGGAUUUCUUUGUGGCAUCCACUCCAUCGCUCAGCAGCCAGCCAUGAUGUCAUAAGCCCAUCAGAUUUCCGGUAGGGAGAGAAAAAACGCUGGGGAAUUGGAAAGAAUGGAUGUUUCUUAUCCGUCAAAAAGGGGAGUGGGAGUGUGGGGGGGGGCGGUGUGUUUGGAAGAGUCUGGCUGGGGGCGGGGGGGGGGAGAGGAGGCGCAAGCACAAUGUUUGUGAUAUUAAAUGUCAGACAAAACCUGAAAAGCCCAGCCACCCAGAUGUUUUUUCAAUAUCCAGAUGUCUGGCAAAGAACAGACCAUGCACCCUCCCGGGAGACCCUCGGCAUUUUGGCUUUGACCUCGGGUCUGUAGCGAGUUCUCACUGCCAGGAGCUGCGCCUCCGGCUUCCUCCCUUUGCCCUGCUCUCAGGGUGGGAUUUUUUUCUUUCCCCUUCUAAAUCUUUACACAUGGAUGGUAGGGGGUAACCAGGUCCAGGUUUUUAAAAGCUGUUGAAGCUGUGAUUUGAAAAGUUCAGUCCUUGGAAUUAGCUUCCAGAGAGUACGCUGUGUAAGCCAAAAGGGGAGGGGAGUCCCUCAUCCAACACACACACACACACACACACACACACACCAUAUGUGACUCCUAAGCCAUAGGACUUAAAACCCAAAACAAAACCAGUGAGGCUGCGAACAAGGACUCAGGCUGACACUGAGAAGAGAGGAGCCUUCCCCAGGAGUACACCUCCCCCAAAUCAGAAAAACACACGAACAGCUUUGUUCUCCCUGACAAAGCCCCUUGCUUUCAAGGCGCCGACAGUUGCCAACAAAAGCACUGGGUAGAAGUAAUUUACACUCCAACUAGGAUUCCUCACUGGAGAGACGGGGACACUUCAAAUGCAGCCAAUUGCACCAAAGAGCAGAUUAGCGGAAUCAAGGUCUCCUGCCUCAUCUUACUACCCGGGGGAAAAGGGGGCUGC